AUUGAACGCUGGCGGCAGGCCUAACACAUGCAAGUCGAGCGGAUGAAGGGAUCUUGCUCCUGGUUUCAGCGGCGGACGGGUGUGUAAUGCCUAUGAAUCUGCCUGUUAGUGGUGGAUAACGUCCGGAAAUGGGCGCUAAUACCGCAUACGUCCUGAGGGAGAAAGUGGUGGUUCUUCGGACCUCUCGCUUUCAUAUGAUCCUAGGUCGGAUUAGCUAGUUGGUUGGGUAAAGUCCUACCAAGGCGACGAUCCGUAACUGGUCUGAGAGGAUGAUCAGUCACACUGGAACUGAGACACGGUCCAGACUCCUAAGGGAGGAAGCAGUGGGGAAUAUUGGACAAUGGGCGAAAGAAUGAUACAGCCAUGCCGAGUGUGUGAAGAAGGUCUUCGGAUUGUAAAGCACUUUAAGUUGGGAGGAAGGGAAGUAAGUUAAUACCUUGAUGUAUUGACGUUACCAACAGAAUAAGCACCGGCUAACUUCGUG
rnacentral:rRNA from 1 species